GGGGAGCAUCCUGCCCGGUCCCCUCUGCACUCCCCACCCUCCUGUCUGCCCCAUGGGACACUCUGGCCUGGGCCAGCACUGGGGACCAGAGGAGUAAAAGGGACAGGGAAGCCCCAGCCUUGCUUCCGGUCCUGCCGUGCCAGUUCACUCCAGGAUGGGCUCGUGUUCCCCGGAGCAGGAGGUGAUGUUCUCUGAGCCACAGGAGGUCAAGGGAUGGAGCACGAAACGCAGGUGCCAUUAUUACAAGGAAGUCAGUGGCCAGAGAGGUUCAAGCAUCUAUCAAAGGCCAGACGGCUAAGAAGUGGCAAAACUGAGCGUCACACCAGGGCUGUCUGAAUUUGGAGCAGCCGGAAGCUGAUGGACAGGAAGCCGUCAUCCUCUUCCCCCACCGGACACUGCCACAACGUCCCUCACCCUGCACCCUCCAGCUCUGGGCAGUGAGGAAGCUCUUCCUGAGAGGGGACGCUGCAGUCUGGCCCCUUGAA